AGAGACCGGCGCACGGGUGCGUAACGCGUAUGCAAUCUACCUUUUACAGAGGGAUAGCCCAGAGAAAUUUGGAUUAAUACCUCAUAGUAUAAUAGCUCGGCAUCGAGCAAUUAUUAAAGUCACAACGGUAAAAGAUGAGCAUGCGUCCCAUUAGCUAGUUGGUAAGGUAACGGCUUACCAAGGCUACGAUGGGUAGGGGUCCUGAGAGGGAGAUCCCCCACACUGGUACUGAGACACGGACCAGACUCCUACGGGAGGCAGCAGUGAGGAAUAUUGGACAAUGGGCGCAAGCCUGAUCCAGCCAUGCCGCGUGCAGGAUGACGGUCCUAUGGAUUGUAAACUGCUUUUGUACAGGAAGAAACAGUUCUACGUGUAGAACCUUGACGGUACUGUAAGAAUAAGGAUCGGCUAACUCCGUGCCAGCAGCCGCGGUAAUACGGAGGAUCCAAGCGUUAUCCGGAAUCAUUGGGUUUAAAGGGUCCGUAGGCGGUUUAAUAAGUCAGUGGUGAAAGCCCAUCGCUCAACGGUGGAACGGCCAUUGAUACUGUUAAACUUGAAUUAUUAGGAAGUAACUAGAAUAUGUAGUGUAGCGGUGAAAUGCUUAGAGAUUACAUGGAAUACCAAUUGCGAAGGCAGGUUACUACUAAUUGAUUGACGCUGAUGGACG
rnacentral:rRNA from 1 species